AUCCAAGUGACAAGUCUCAAAUAGGACGAAACGCGCGUCCUGGAU
rnacentral:hammerhead_ribozyme from 1 species